rnacentral:lncRNA from 1 species
AUAUAUGAAAGAAACAUUGACAGAAAGAGAGAAAAAAAUAGAGACAGCUUUAUAAAAUAGUAGAAUAUUUUAUGUGUGCACUGUUGAUGGGUAUGUAAAAUGGUGCAUACUCUAGGGAAAACAAUAUGGUUGUUUCUCACAAAAUGGAAAACAGAAUUACGAUGUGAUCCAGCUUUUUCAUUUGUGGAUAUAUACCCAAAAUAGUUGAAAAUAGGGCUCAAAGUAAUGUUAGUACACCCAUGAUCACAAGCCUCCAUCUAUGGAUGAAAUGAAAUGAAUGAAAAAGCAAAAUGUCAGAAUCCAUAAAGUGGGGCACUUUUUGAGUCUGAAACAAAGAUGGAAAAUCUGAUAGAUGCUACAAUGUGAAUGAACCUUGAGGACAUUAUGCUAAAUGAAAUAAGUUAAUCACAAAAAGACAAAUACUUUAUGAUUCCACUUCCAUGAGGUGCCUAGAGCAGUCAAAUUUAUGGAGACAGAAAGUAGAAUGGUGGUUGCCAGGGGCUACAGAGAGAGAGGAAGGAAUG